rnacentral:rRNA from 1 species
GAUGAACGCUGGCGGCGUGCCUAAUACAUGCGAGUCGAGCGAACAGACGAGGAGCUUGCUCCUCUGACGUUAGCGGCGGACGGGUGAGUAACACGUGGAUAACCUACCUAUAAGACUGGGAUAACUUCGGGAAACCGGAGCUAAUACCGGAUAAUAUAUUGAACCGCAUGGUUCAAUAGUGAAAGACGGCUUUGCUGUCACUUAUAGAUGGAUCCGCGCCGCAUUAGCUAGUUGGUAAGGUAACGGCUUACCAAGGCAACGAUGCGUAGCCGACCUGAGAGGGUGAUCGGCCACACUGGAACUGAGACACGGUCCAGACUCCUACGGGAGGCAGCAGUAGGGAAUCUUCCGCAAUGGGCGAAAGCCUGACGGAGCAACGCCGCGUGAGUGAUGAAGGUCUUCGGAUCGUAAAACUCUGUUAUUAGGGAAGAACAAAUGUGUAAGUAACUAUGCACGUCUUGACGGUACCUAAUCAGAAAGCCACGGCUAACUACGUG